rnacentral:rRNA from 1 species
ACGGAGGAUGCAAGUGUUAUCCGGAAUCACUGGGCGUAAAGCGUCUGUAGGUUGUUUAAAAAGUCCACUGUUAAAAGUUGAAGCUUAACUUCAAAAAUGCCGUAGAAACUUUUAAACUGGAGUAUGGUAGGGGUAGAGGGAAUUUCCAGUGGAGCGGUGAAAUGCGUAGAUAUUGGAAAGACCACCAAUGGCGAAGGCACUCUACUGGGCCACUACUGACACUGAGAGACGAAAGCUAGGGGAGCAAAUGGGAUUAGAUACCCCAGUAGUCCUAGCCGUAAACGAUGGAUACUAAAUGUUGCGUGUAUUGACCCACGCAGUGUUGUAGCUAACGCGUUAAGUAUCCCGCCUGGGAAGUAUGCUCGCAAGAGUG